UGAAUACAAAAUGUUUAAGGUUCUAUAGUAUUCAGAAUGGUGCUAUUUUACAAGAGCUUGAUAACACAGAGAUAACCUGUGGGUCUCCUCUGGAUGUGUGGAACAGCAUGGCUAGAAUCCAGAGUGCUGGAUUUUGGUGUAACUCUGGAAUAUAUGGCAUAAAAAUGACUAAAUCCAGCCAGUGGACCAAGGUCAG